GAUUGAGCUGGAAAGGAACCAAAGCAUCGAAAAUCGAAUCUUAUGUUUCUUAAACAUGUUAAGAAUUGCAUUAUAUCUUUCUUGAAUCCCAGAGCUUGCCUUGUGUCUGACUUUGAUCUGCCCAGCGCAUGUUACUUUUGGUGAUGUUGGUUCUGAUAACUCCGAGUCCAUUUGCCUGGUUUUGGUCCAUAAGAGAGGACUGGCUCGGCUUCCACCACCCCUAGGGCUGGAUUUCUUCAAAUGGUGGGGCCGUUGUUGUCGGUGGGGGGGGCGGUUCUGGUGGGGUUUGCUGGGUUCUAAUGGCCUUGCAGGACUGCAAAUGGGUUUGGGCAUUAAUGUUAGAUGGGCUCUAGAAGGAAAACAUACUAACAGAUCUGCUGAUGGAGCUCUCCUGCUUUCUCUUCCUUUCAUUUUGAUUUUUUUUCAGCUUUAUAUGAACUAAUAACCCAGACCCUAUCGUUUUCUUGAGCU